GACCUCAAAUCAGGUAGGGCUACCCGCUGAACUUAAGCAUAUCAAUAAGCGGAGGAAAAGAAACUAACAAGGAUUCCCCCAGUAACGGCGAGCGAACAGGGAAGAGCUCAAAUUUGAAAUCUGGCGUCCUCAGGGCGUCCGAGUUGUAAUCUAUAGAGACGUUUUCCGUGCCGGACCGUGUCCAAGUCCCUUGGAACAGGGUAUCAAAGAGGGUGACAAUCCCGUACUUGACACGACGACCGGCGCUCUGUGAUACGUCUUCUACGAGUCGAGUUGUUUGGGAAUGCAGCUCAAAAUGGGUGGUGAGUUCCAUCUAAAGCUAAAUAUUGGCGAGAGACCGAUAGCGAACAAGUACCGUGAGGGAAAGAUGAAAAGCACUUUGGAAAGAGAGUU
rnacentral:rRNA from 1 species